rnacentral:rRNA from 1 species
CAAAAACAUCGCCUCCCGCUAGUAUCAAUGUAUAGGAGGUCCUGCCUGCCCAGUGAUUAAAUUCAACGGCCGCGGUAUUUUGACCGUGCAAAGGUAGCGUAAUCACUUGUCUUUUAAAUGAAGACCCGUAUGAAUGGCAAAACGAGGGCCUACCUGUCUCCCUUUUCUGGUCAAUGAAAUUGAUUUACCCGUGCAGAAGCGGGUAUAAAAUUACAAGACGAGAAGACCCUUUGGAGCUUAAGACUAAAUAUCAACUAUGUAAAUAUUUUAAAUAGAACCAAAUAGUAACUGAUCGCGGUCUUCGGUUGGGGCGACCAUGGAAUAAAACUUAACUUCCACACGGACUGGGGGAAUACCUUAAAACUGAGAAAGACAUUUCUAAGUCCCAGAAUUUCUGACCACACAGAUCCGGCAACUUGCCGAUUAAUGAACCAAGUUACCCUAGGGAUAACAGCGCAAUCCCCUUUUAGAGCCCCCAUCGACAAGGGGGUUUACGACCUCGAUGUUGGAUCAGGACAUCCUAAUGGUGCAGCCGCUAUUAAGGGUUC